GCCAGUGUGGCAUAGUGGUUUGAGUGUUGGACUACGACUCUGGAGUCCAGGGUUUAAUUCCCUGCUUGGCCA